CAGCAGCCAUGAGAGUGUCCUAAUUACACACCCCACAGGCCUUCCCCACGGAGGGACCUCAGACAGUACUGGAGCCCACACUGAUCUGGAUCUGCAGUGCCCUCUGUGGGCAGCUGGCUGUCAUGCCCUGAGAGUCAUGUAGGCAAGGGUGGGACACAGUGGGCACAGCAGAAACUAAGCACAAAGAAGGAAGGACGGACGGACGGACAUGGCUGCGGUUACCUGGUCAUCUGACACUUCCACACAGCGAAUGGAGAACGGAGGCUUGAGGUACAGAGGCAGGACUGCAGAUGGCGAGCGACACAGGACCCUGCUCCACAGCAAGGAGCAGACAGCAGCCGGGUCCCACUGCUGCGCCGUCACCAUCACUGUCACCACUGCGCCGUCCCUGCUUCCCCAGCCCCUUGGCACUGAGGAGCCUAUGGCACACUGCCCUCUGGAUAAUCCCUCUGUUUUCACUGUGAGUCACAGAGUGGCCCGAGGUCUUCGUACGCAUUCACAAACAGACAUACAAGUUGUAAGUAAGUACCUUCAGGAACAUGGCUCUUUCGUCGGGCGUGAAGUCGGAAGCCAGGAUGUCCCAGAGCCAGAUGAUGACUCUGUGACUCCCAUGAAAGCCGCCGUAGUACACCGUGUGCUUCCUGAAAACAACCCGGAGCAGGGCCCACAGUCAGGAACAGGCAGGCAGGGCACUGGCCAAGGUCCCAUGCCACGGCCUCAGCCCCCGGAAACUAAAUGGGCUGUCACCAGGGUACCCAGAGUCACUCUGCAUUAGAUGCAUUAGAAUCCAGGGAGGGAUCAGCUCUCCCAGGGGGCCCCAUCAUGCCACAAGUCCCUCCUCAGCCCUUACUUUAAGUCUUCCAAGUCGAUCUCAGCGUUGUCCCCGGAGAUGAGGCGCUGAAGCUCAGGGGUCGAGAACAUUCGGAUCCACUCGGGCUUGAUAAUGGAACGGAAGCCACUGAUGAGAGCAGCCGCCUGGUUUUUGAUCUGAGUGUGCAUUCGAAAAUGCGCCAUCAGAUGGAUGUAGCUAAUUCUGAAACAAGAGAGAGACGCUGGGACUAGCCGGCCAGGGCAGGCUGCUGCCACACGUGCAAGGAGACGAGCCUAGUGCUUUUGAACCAUCUCCGAAACACAAAUGCUAGCGUCUAUCAGCAGGUGCCGUGACGCCGUGAUGGUGGCCUCCAGGCCACACACUGUGCCACCAUGACGGCACCGAGUGUUGAGGGCACUGCCUGUUCACUUGUCCUCACAGCACCCAGGAACUCCCUGGGAUGGCCCCAUGCUCUCCGGACCGAGGGCCACCUGCACAGGUCAGUCCCACUGGACCUCUCUCAAGGACACAGCCUAGUGCUCCAACCAACUUCAGAGAGAAGCUGCCUCUCCUGCAGCAGCACACUGAAGCCUGAAGCACUGUCAGACUGGAUCUACUGUCUCCAAAAUGCUGCUGGGUUAUUCCUAGGUUCAACAGGGAGGUCAGAUCAACCCGCACUUAUGGGGAAAAGGGUCUCCAGCUAGUGCCCCUGGAUCUAGCUUGACUACAGCUGCAGGCUGUCACCCCAGGAAGCUGGCCAGUGUCGCUGAUCUGUUGGCAAGCACGCCCAAGUACGCUAUUAAAAACUGCAUGUGAAGAAUAGUCCAAAUAAUUCCACUUAGCCUCAUAGUGCCCAAGUCAAAGUUACUGUCCCUGAAUAUUUCUAGAUUAAAAAACAGCAACAAACAUUACACACUAAAUACAUUCAAAUAUGAAUUUUCAAUUA